rnacentral:rRNA from 1 species
CAGUAGCCGCGGUAAUACGAAGGGUGCAAGCGUUACUCGGAAUUACUGGGCGUAAAGCGUGCGUAGGUGGUGGUUUAAGUCCGUUGUGAAAGCCCUGGGCUCAACCUGGGAAUUGCAGUGGAUACUGGGUCACUAGAGUGUGGUAGAGGAUAGUGGAAUUUCCGGUGUAGCAGUGAAAUGCGUAGAGAUCGGAAGGAACAUCUGUGGCGAAGGCGACUAUCUGGGCCAACACUGACACUGAGGUACGAAAGCAUGGGGAGCAAACAGGAUUAGAUACCCCUGUAGUCCCUGUCUCUUAUAC